GGUUAAUUAAUUUCGUACGGUUAAAAUAAUUUGUUUAAGUCAUGCAUGCUACAUGAUAUCCUGUUUAUCAACAAUCAAAUGAGCGACUUAUCUCACUCCAUUGCGUGCAUUUGGUUUGACUUCUUUAACAAACACGCAGUUGCACUUUUCAAACGAUCUACUUGAAAAAGGUAAUAAAACACAUGCUAUAAAGAUUUACGAUGCCACAAAUAUUAAACCAUUUACCAUACCUCAAUUUAGCCCGUUAACCAGUGAAUAAACAAAUACCACCUUACCCGUUUACACAAAAUGAGGAACAUCAGAAGCACUUACAAAUUUUUUUAUGAAGUAUCUUUAUCGAAUGUACAUCUUCCCUCGUACAAAAUUUACAGUCUCAUGUCUACAAAUAUACCACGUCGAUAAUGCAUUGCAUUAAUCAAGAGACAAAAAGUAACUUAUAUUAUUGGGAGUUUUUAAAACCCCGGAAAACAUCAAAAUUCCAGAAAAUUCGUAAUCUAAUUUAUGUAUUAGAACCAUUCUGAGCCUGCUCACUAGAAUGGAAAACCAAGGUUGAAUUUAAGACACAAUUAUGUAUGUCGACAAAUGAAAAGAAUAUUGAAUAAAAACAUUAAAAGAAACAAUAAAAUGUAGGAUAUUAAACAUGGAUGGGAUUUAACAAAUCCAUUUUUGCAACAGUAAAUUAGGCUGAGCACAUUUCGCAAGCCUCAGGGUUCUUGAUGGAGCAUGCGAGCACUUUUUCAUUAUAAAUGUCAAUCUCUUCUUUAGUGGGCUCUGCAGAAAUUUCAGCCUUUCCAUUCUUUAUAACUGGCUUCUUAUUCUCUUCAUUAGAUUCUUCAUUACGAGCGCGCAAGGCCACAGGGUCGACCGUAAAUUUGAUAGCAGCAGAAGCAGCCAUAGUACGAAGAUAGUACAUUCCAGUCUUAAGACCCUUCUUCCAGCCAUAAAAGUGCAUACUAGUAAUUUUUCCGUAGGAAGGAUCCUUCAAGUGAAUGUUCAAACUUUGGGAUUGAUCAAUGAAUGGGCCACGGUCGGCAGCAUAGUCAAUAACAGUCUUUUGACUAAUCUCCCAUACGGUUUUGUAAAGAUCCUUAAGGUCUUGAGGAAUUUCAGGAAUCGCUUGGAUGGAUCCAUCAAGCAUAACAAGUUUGUUCUUCAUGUCCUCAUUCCACAAAUCACGCUCAACGAGAUCCUUCAACAGCCAUGGAUUGACAAUUUGGAAUUCACCAGAAAGAACACGGCGUUGGUACAUGUUAGAAGUAUAUGGCUCAAAACACUCAUUGAAACCAAGGAUUUGAGAUGUUGAAGCAGUAGGCAUUGGUGCUACUAACAAAGAAUUACGAAUUCCGUGUUUAGCAAUCUUUUCCUUCAACUCGGCCCAAUCCCAAAGAUCGGUGGGAUUAACGUUCCACAUGUCAUACUGUAAAAUACCCUGGGAUGCAGGAGAUCCUUCAUAACUCUCAUAUGUACCCUCUACCUGGGCAAUCUCGCAAGAGGCCUCAAGGGCUGCGUGGUAAAUUGUUUCGAAGAUUUGGAUGUUUAGCUUCUUGGCACCUGCAGAUUCGAAUGGUAAACGAAGAGCGAAGAAAGCAUCGGCAAGACCUUGAACACCCAAACCAACGGGACGAUGGCGCAUAUUGCUACGGCGAGCUUCAGGAACAGGAUAAUAGUUAACGUCGAUAAUCUUGUUGAGGUUACGAGUAACGACCUUCACGACAUCGUGAAGCUUUUGGAAAUUGUACUUUCCGUCUUUAAUAAAUGUGGGCAAAGCAACUGAAGCAAGGUUACAAACAGCAACUUCGUCAGGAGAAGAGUAUUCAACAAUCUCAGUACACAGGUUUGAGCAGCGAAUAGUACCAACAUUCUUCUGAUUGGACUUACGGUUGCAUGAAUCCUUAUACAACAUGAAAGGAUUACCAGUUUCAACUUGUGAUUGAAGAAUGGCGUACCAAACUUUUUGAGCAGGUAAUGAACGACGACCACGGUUCUCCUUCUCAUACUUUUCGUAGAGGGCAACAAACUCGUCACCCCAAACAUCUGCCAAACCUGGAGCCUCAUUGGGGCAGAAGAAGGUCCAUUGCUCGUUACGUUCAACACGUUGCAUAAACAAGUCAGGAAUCCACAAGGCAUAGAACAUUUCGCGUGCGCGGAAAUCCUCGUUGCCAUGAGUCUUUCGAAGUUCUAAAAAGUCCAUAACAUCGGCAUGCCAAGGCUCCAAAUAGGCUGCAAAGGCACCAGGACGCUUAUUACCUCCUUGGUCAACAUAACGAGCUGUGUUGUUGUAAACACGAAUCAUGGGGACAAUUCCGUUGGAAGUACCAUUAGUUCCAGCAAUAUACGAACCGGUUGCUCUAAUGUUGUGAAUAUUAAUACCAAUACCGCCAGCGGUCUUGGAGAUCAUAGCACACAUCUUGAGUGUGUCGUAGAUUCCUUCAAUAGAGUCGUCUUUCAUCGUAACGAGGAAACAAGAAGAGAGUUGGGGACGAGGAGUACCGGCAUUGAAAAGAGUUGGUGAAGCAUGGGUAAAGUAGCGUUGAGACAUCAAAUUGUAUGUUUCAAUAGCAGCUUCAAUGUCCUCACCGUGGAUACCAACGGCGACACGCAUAAUCAUAUGCUGAGGGCGCUCAGCAACUUUGCCGUCGAUACGCAAUAAAUAAGAACGCUCUAAAGUCUUGAAGCCAAAGAAAUUGUAAGUGAAAUCACGAUCGUAUAUGAUAGCACUAUCUAAUUCGUCCUUGUGUUUCAUUACGAUAUCGUAGAUUUUGUCAGAGAUCAUGGGGGCAGGCUUGUCUGUUUUGGGAUUUACAUAGUCAUGAAGCUGUUGAACGACAGUUGAAAACACCUUCUCGGUUUGCUUAUGCAAGUUGGAAACAGCAAUUCUAGCAGCCAAAAUAGCAUAAUCAGGAUGCUUUGUAGUCAUAGUCGCGGCAGUUUCAGCAGCUAAAUUAUCCAAUUCAAUAGUGGUAACACCGGGAUACACACCAGAAAUGACUUUUUGAGUGAUUUCGACGGGAUCAACAUGAUCGGAAUCAAGGCCAUAACAAAGCCUCGAAACACGAGCAGUGAUUUUGUCAAAGGCCACUUUCUCUUGACGUCCGUCUAUACAGUUAGUACAUUAUUGCUUUUCGAUUCAAUGUCAACAGUCAGUCAAUUUUGAAUACAACGCCACCAGCAACGAAUCUGUCAGCAAUCAACCGAACACUUGGAAGUAGAGCAAACGGCUAAAAGAACAUUUGCUUAAACAUCUCUGCACACAACAAACAGUGAAUACUGAAUGACACGCUUAAACAAAUAGAAAAAUCUCAGUUUCUUUAAACAUUUACUCCCCAGUAAAAUCACGACAUUUUUCGAAACGGCAACGUUGUAACAAAAUUUCUACUAAUCUUCUAACUGUAUUUUAUUUCCUGUUUCAUACCUCUUUUGUAUACAAACAUCGUGUUUGUUCUAGUUUGUAAGGUGGUAAAUACCGGGAAUAUUUAUAGUAAAUGAAAAACGCGUUCAGACGCGUCACGCUAAUAUAACGUGAUGCCGCGUCGCGUCAUCCGAACUUUAAGUCAUGUUGAUCAAUGUAAAUAAAUAAAGCUAAGAGUGGAAACCGGAUCAUUUUUGUAGCUCUACUAUAUCUAAAAGACGUUAAUUAAGACUUGCUAAAUAGAUUUAUCUUUUUCACUUCUGAACAUCAAAGUUCCGCUAAAAUAAGUCCGACUUUUAAAAAUUAAAAAAAUAUUUUUUUAAAAAAACGCGAUUAAACAUGUUGAAGUGGUCUGACCUGAUACAAUACAUUCAACUGUUACAUUUAUCUUUUAUUAAACAUAAAAAAAGUGUUUAUAAAUACUCUGUUUACGACUGAAUGUAAUAAAUUAAAUAUUUAUUUACGCGUCUCAAUUGCAACGCGACGCGACUGUUUACAUAAAUUAAACACGCGGUCCAACCCGACUACCAACCUGCUCUAUGAGAUUGAACUACUAAUUUCUCUAAUAUAUCUAGAUAUCAAUUUCCCCUUGUUCUUUAUAUUACUUUUUGAUGUUGUCAAUUACCUGUUGGAGAAGAUCAUAACAUACAAUUGAUAAAGUAUUGUUUCCUUGAUUUAUAAAUUGUAAAGCUAAGUUGAGUUAGCUUUUUUGUUAAGACCUCUCAACUUUUAGAUUUAAGAUUUUGAUUCCCAUUUCUGUUGUAAUAUGUAACCUUACUAAUGCUUUACAUUAAAGCAUGAAGAUUUCGACUCUGCAUUUUACUUAUAAGCACUAUAAAAGGUACACAUAGAGAUAGACAAACAGCUUUUAGUAGCUACAAAAACUUUGUUCUUUUCCCUUUAAUUCACUAUUUGCUCCCUCGCAAUUAUCCUUUUUUUUAGGUAAAGUCAACAAUGCUUAUAUCUUCAUCUGAUAAUCUUGCCUGUAGACAGAGUGAAAAUCAAAUGGUAAUACAAAUGCAUAGAUAGAAUAACAACGGUCACCUUCAAAACAUGAAAUUGCAAACAUUGGUAUGCUUGACGUAAAGAGAAUGAGAUAUAAACAGUGUGCAAAUUUCCGCAAAAUACAAAAUGUUUAAACCAUCAACUACGGCUAUCUGCUACUUCGACUAUCAACGUGUAUAAAAAUACCAAGCGCCUGUAUACCAGCAAGGUUAUCAACAGAGAUAAUGUCGCUUCAAUUUUCUACAAUAAUUCUAGUGCAAAAUUGGAGACCCAGCUAAAGUUCCACGAUAAUAAGCAAUUACGUGCUGUGAGAAAGCUUAUAAAAUAUUCGGGUUUUGAUCGAGUUUCAAUCGAGGUGUAUAUUCUUUAAAUUACCGAUUUAUAAAAAUUUACCAAGUCCUUUGACUAGGUAGAAAGGAUAAUAAUGAUGGCAAUCCUUAACAAAAGAAACAAGGUAUUAUAGGAAAAAUAAAACCAUGCAAUAACAAGGCAAUAAGGGAAAUUUUCUUCAAACUAAUAGCGAAGAGUAUAGCAAAGUAAGCAAAGACUGAAAACAAGACGCAUACUCCUUGCAGGUGCCUAUACGUUGCAGAACAGUGAGGGGAAAUGGUAGAACAGCUAUAUGAAAUGCGCUUAAAUCAUUGCCAAGCUGACUAAAUGGCACGACUUGAGGUAAGUAAAAAGGAAAGAAUGAGAGGAUAUAAUGACUAUGUAACAUGAUAGGCCACACAAUGCAAAACUCCC